UACGUAGGGGGCAAGCGUUGUCCGGAUUUAUUGGGCGUAAAGAGCGUGUAGGCGGCCAGCCAGGUCCGUUGUGAAAACUCGAGGCUCAACCUCGAGAUGUCGAUGGAAACCGUCUGGCUAGAGUCCGGAAGAGGAGUGUGGAAUUCCUGGUGUAGCGGUGAAAUGCGCAGAUAUCAGGAGGAACACCAACGGCGAAGGCAGCUCGCUGGGACGGUACUGACACUAAGGCGCGAAAGCGUGGGGAGCGAACAGG
rnacentral:rRNA from 1 species